rnacentral:tRNA from 1 species
GGGCCAGUAGUUCAGGGGUAGAACGUCGGUCUCCAAAACCGAAUGUCGUGGGUUCAAAUCCUGCCUGGCCCGCCA